rnacentral:tRNA from 1 species
GGGGCUGUGGCUCCAUGGCAGAGCGCUUGCCUGUUGUGCCUGAGGCCCUGGGUUCCAUCCCCAGUACCGCCA